GACGAACGCUGGCGGCGUGCUUAACACAUGCAAGUCGAGCGGUAAGGCCCUUUCGGGGGUACACGAGCGGCGAACGGGUGAGUAACACGUGGGUGACCUGCCCUCAGCUCUGGGAUAAGCCUGGGAAACCGGGUCUAAUACUGGAUAUGACUCCAUGACGCAUGUUGUGGGGUGGAAAGCCUUGUGCGGCUGAGGAUGGGCCCGCGGCCUAUCAGCUUGUUGGUGGGGUGANGGCCUACCAAGGCGACGACGGGUAGCCGGCCUGAGAGGGCGACCGGCCACACUGGGACUGAGACACGGCCCAGACUCCUACGGGAGGCAGCAGUGGGGAAUAUUGCGCAAUGGUCGGAAGACUGACGCAGCGACGCCGCGUGGAGGAUGACGCCUCGGGU
rnacentral:rRNA from 1 species